rnacentral:rRNA from 1 species
GAGUUUGAUCCUGGCUCAGAACGAACGCUGGCGGCGUGCCUGACACAUGCAAGUCGGACGUGAUCCAGAGCUUGCUCUGGUGAAAGUGGCGCACGGGUGAGUAACGCGUGGAUAACCUACCCUGGUAUCCGGGAUAACAUUCCGAAAGGGGUGCUAAUACCGGAUAAGCCCACGGGCUCUUUGGAGCUUGCGGGAAAAGGUGGCCUCUAUUUAUAAGCUACUGUAUCAGGAUGGGUCCGCGUACCAUUAGCUAGUUGGCGGUGUAACGGACCACCAAGGCGACGAUGGUUAGCUGGUCUGAGAGGAUGAUCAGCCACACUGGAACUGAGACACGGUCCAGACUCCUACGGGAGGCGGCAGUGGGGAAUUUUGCGCAAUGGGGGAAACCCUGACGCAGCAACGCCGCGUGAGUGAUGAAGGCCUUUGGGUCGUAAAGCUCUGUCAGAGGGGAAGAAAUGAUAUAGUGCUAAUACCACUUUAUCUUGACGGUACCCUCAAAGGAAGCACCGGCUAACUCCGUGCCAGCAGCCGCGGUAAUAC